AUAGCUCAGUCGGUAAAGCGCAAGGCUUUUAACCUUGUGGUCGGGGGUUCGAGCCCCCCU
rnacentral:tRNA from 1 species